UAGGGAAUUGUUCGCAAUGGGCGCAAGCCUGACGACGCAACGCCGCGUGGAGGAUGAAGACCUUCGGGUCGUAAACUCCUUUCGACCGAGAUGAAUACUCGCCGACCUAACACGUCGGCGAGCUGACAGUAUCGAGGGAAGAAGCCCCGGCUAACUCCGUGCCAGCAGCCGCGGUAAUACGGGGGGGGCAAGCGUUGUUCGGAAUUACUGGGCGUAAAGGGUUCGUAGGUGGCUUGCUAAGUCAGACGUGAAAUCCCUCAGCUUAACUGGGGAACUGCGUCUGAGACUGGUGAGCUUGAGUGCAGGAGAGGAACGCGGAAUUCCAGGUGUAGCGGUGAAAUGCGUAGAUAUCUGGAGGAACACCGGUGGCGAAGGCGGCGUUCUGGACUGCUACUGACACUGAGGAACGAAAGCCAGGGGAGCAAACGGGAUUAGAUACCCCGGUAGUCCUGGCCCUAAACGAUGAAUGCUUGGUGUGGCGGGUAUCGAUCCCUGCCGUGCCGCUAA
rnacentral:rRNA from 1 species